UGGACGUGGAGAAGGAAGGAAGAGGCGUUGGGGAGGAGAGAAAGAUGUAAGAAAGAAGCCUCUCGCAUCUAACGCACGCCACCUCCCUUCACGCGUCCUCUUUUAAGUUUUUGUUGCACCACAUCUCGAAUCCCACGCACAACUCCUUAACGCCUAAGAGAUCUCAUCUCUUUUAAUCUAAGGCGUUAAAAAACAAAUCAAAGGAUAGAUGUGCGUUGAGAUAAGGGAAGAAAGGAGAGAUGUCUCACGCCAACAAUUAGCGCACGUCCUCUUUCUCUAAUUUUUUUGUCGCAUAAAAAAAUGCUUCCACGCCCCAAUCUAAGAGAUUUCUAUCCUAUUUUGAAUCAAAUUCAAAUAGAAAAAAAUUUGAAUGAAAAAGACUUCUAGAUUAGGCGGGGCGCCAACUAUUGGCGCCCCCUCUUCUUUCACGCACGUGAAGAAAAAAGGACGAGAAAAAUAACACCCCA
rnacentral:lncRNA from 1 species